rnacentral:rRNA from 1 species
GACGAACGCUGGCGGCGUGCCUAAUACACGCAAGUCGAACGCUUCUUUCCUCCCGAGUGCUUGCACUCAACUGGAAAGAGGAGUGGCGGACGGGUGAGUAACACGUGGGUAACCUACCCAUCAGAGGGGGAUAACACUUGGAAACAGGUGCUAAUACCGCAUAACAGUUUAUGCCGCAUGGCAUAAGAGUGAAAGGCGCUUUCGGGUGUCGCUGAUGGAUGGACCCGCGGUGCAUUAGCCAGUUGGUGAGGUAACGGCUCACCAAGGCCACGAUGCAUAGCCGACCUGAGAGGGUGAUCGGCCACACUGGGACUGAGACACGGCCCAGACUCCUACGGGAGGCAGCAGUAGGGAAUCUUCGGCAAUGGACGAAAGUCUGACCGAGCAACGCCGCGUGAGUGAAGAAGGUUUUCGGAUCGUAAAACUCUGUUGUUAGAGAAGAACAAGGACGUUAGUAACUGAACGUCCCCUGACGGUAUCUAACCAGAAAGCCACGGCUAACUACGUGCCAGCAGCCGCGGUAAUACGUAGGUGGCAAGCGUUGUCCGGAUUUAUUGGGCGUAAAGCGAGCGCAGGCGGUUUCUUAAGUCUGAUGUGAAAGCCCCCGGCUCAACCGGGGAGGGUCAUUGGAAACUGGGAGACUUGAGUGCAGAAGAGGAGAGUGGAAUUCCAUGUGUAGCGGUGAAAUGCGUAGAUAUAUGGAGGAACACCAGUGGCGAAGGCGGCUCUCUGGUCUGUAACUGACGCUGAGGCUCGAAAGCGUGGG